rnacentral:rRNA from 1 species
GACGAACGCUGGCGGCGUGCCUAAUACAUGCAAGUAGAACGCUGAAGGAGGAGCUUGCUCUUCUGGAUGAGUUGCGAACGGGUGAGUAACGCGUAGGUAACCUGCCUGGUAGCGGGGGAUAACUAUUGGAAACGAUAGCUAAUACCGCAUAACAGUAGAUGUUGCAUGACAUUUACUUAAAAGGUGCAAUUGCAUCACUACCAGAUGGACCUGCGUUGUAUUAGCUAGUUGGUGGGGUAACGGCUCACCAAGGCGACGAUACAUAGCCGACCUGAGAGGGUGAUCGGCCACACUGGGACUGAGACACGGCCCAGACUCCUACGGGAGGCAGCAGUAGGGAAUCUUCGGCAAUGGACGGAAGUCUGACCGAGCAACGCCGCGUGAGUGAAGAAGGUUUUCGGAUCGUAAAGCUCUGUUGUAAGAGAAGAACGAGUGUGAGAGUGGAAAGUUCACACUGUGGCGGUAUCUUACCAGAAAGGGACGGCUAACUACGUG